CUCUGAUUCCCAAGUUGAAUCAGGGCGGAAAGAG
rfam:Clostridium ultunense Esp genomic scaffold, CTLT_3033